GGUUUGAAAACUCCAGAGUUGGCAGGUAUAAUAUCUGCAUCCAACACUGUGGUGUUGCCAAGGCAACCUAUUGAUGAAUCAUCCUAGAAUCUUUACCCCUGAAAGAUUCCAGAGAGGGCUGAGGAGUCCUCUCCAAGUAAGACCUCUACACCUGACUAUGGAUUGAUUGUGUCCUGAGCCUGAAGAUCAAGCUGAAAGAUUCAACAACCAGCAAAGUGAACAUCGAGGCAUCUAUUUUCCUUGAAACCGUGUGAAGGCUCCUUCAGAAAGAAAGUAAGAAGAACUAAGAAAUUACCAUUGGUCUGCUAGCUGUCAAAUUGAGAUACGUGAAAAACGCAAGCACAUACAAGCUAAAGGAACAUUGUGGCAACAUUUAAAAAUAUCACAGCUCCCUAAGUAAGAAGUAAUCCUGAUAAGCCUGUUUGAAAUUCGUGCACUACGUCUGUAACCCUGAAAGCCUGAAUUGUACAUUACCAAGGUUGGAGGAACAAAUCCCUGCUUUACUGGAAGAAAACCAGAGCGCAUCUGAGAAGAGG